rnacentral:rRNA from 1 species
UGGGGAAUAUUGGACAAUGGGCGAAAGCCUGAUCCAGCCAUGCCGCGUGUGUGAAGAAGGUCUUCGGAUUGUAAAGCACUUUAAGUUGGGAGGAAGGGCAUUAACCUAAUACGUUAGUGUUUUGACGUUACCGACAGAAUAAGCACCAGCUAACUCUGUGCCAGCAGCCGCGGUAAUACAGAGGGUGCAAGAGUUAAUCGGAAUUACUGGGCGUAAAGCGCGCGUAGGUGGUUUGUUAAGUUGGAUGUGAAAUCCCCGGGCUCAACCUGGGAACUGCAUUCAAAACUGACUGACUAGAGUAUGGUAGAGGGUGGUGGAAUUUCCUGUGUAGCGGUGAAAUGCGUAGAUAUAGGAAGGAACACCAGUGGCGAAGGCGACCACCUGGACUAAUACUGACACUGAGGUGCGAAAGCGUGGGGAGCAAACA